AGCAAGUGGGUGCCCCCAGCCCCUCCUUUGUUCCCAUGGCCGGCCACCUCUGCUGCUUCCAUGGUGAUCUCUAAAUCCCUUUGUUGUUUUACUAGUUCUUGUUAAUACCCUGCUGAUGUGAGGUUUUAUGUGUGUUGAUGUGUGCGAUAUGGAGUAAAAUCCUUGGAGAAUUAGGUGGAGAAGAAGGUUAAGUUCAACACUCCUUAGGUGUUCGAUGAUAUGCUCGAACUGGUGGCCGUCUUCGUUCUUGCUGAAAUCGAGUCGGAGCAUGAUGUGGUGAGCCAAGUCGUUUCUCCGACUACUUAGCUAAUGAAUGAUUUGGUUAUAUAAUUAUUGCUGUAAUGGUAUUUGAUGUAUGAUGAAAUAAUUUAGUUGUGUGCCAUGAAUUUUUUUUGACGUCAUGAUUGGAUAGUAGAAGUGUUGUUUGAGGGGAAGUUUAGGUAUUAGGUGCAGAUUUUACGAGGAGUGCUUUAGAGAGUACAUAUGUCAAGUAUAAUUAAAUGAAUGUUAUAAAACACAGAGGAUGGUUCUGUUUAGGCAAGGAAUGCUUUGAUUGAUGCGUUGGUAAGCUGUGGUUAACCAAAAUGGGAACUAAAUUGAAUUUUUGCUGUUUGGACUGUGCACAGUUUUAGUAUGCAGGUAGCUAAGUGAAGUAAACUUUGUUUUCUGAAGAGAUGAUAUGCAUAUAAGUUGUAGCUAACUUCUUUAUCCUGGUUGUGUAAAAAAUUUUAUGACCAUAGGUUUAGUAGUUUAGGAGUUAUGAUUUUUCAAAGUCCAGUUUCAGAAUCUGCCCAGAUUCUGUACUGAUUUCGAAAAUGACCCUGUUUGCCCAAAUUAAACUUAGAAUCAGCUCUUAGCUCUUAGUAAUUAUAGGAGAAUUGUAGUACUUUUCUAAAGCUUUCCAACAAAUUUUGGAGCACUUUUUUUUGUGGUCUAGAGACCAAGUUACAGCUGUUUGAACUAUAUAGUCUGAAUCUGUCCAAAUCUGGACAGAGAAGUCUGUUUGUAUUAACUGACUUUGAUAUGUAUUGAAUUAACAUGAGAUGUUUAUAAAUGAAUUAUAGACAAUUCUACUAGCUUUCAAAAAAAGUCUAGGAUCACCUGAUUUGGAUAUCUGAAACUCCCGUUAUGGAAUUUUAAAGUGAGUGGCCGAAUUCUGUCCAAAUCUGGAUAGAAAUUGUGUUUAGUACAGUUUGACCUUUCUAAAGGUCGAAUCUUGUUAUGAUGAUAAUACAAAAGUUAUAUAGAACUUUAUAAGCUUUUCAGAAAGUCCUAGUUUACUAUUUUUGGAUGCAUAUUUUGUGAGUUACGAACAAAACAUUUGACUACUGUGCUGCUGUCUAGAAAAAAUCUGCGCGUGGUAAAUUGAUUGUUUGGGGUCAUUCUUGUUUGGCUUGAUAGAAUUAGUUAAAUUUUGAUUAUUGAAGACUGGUUGAAUAUAGUGGUGAUAGUAAUCCAUGCUAUGCUUUAGUAGUAUUAUAUUCUUUAUUAAUGACCGGUUAAAUACCUUAGAUAAAUAUUUAUUAGUGCAAUAUAAUUCAUCUUCAUGUGGGUAUAUAUAUUCCUUGUUGAAUUCGAAUGUAAACUAGAAUGGGUUACGACUUCUGGUAUAUCUCCGUAUUAUUUCUAAACCAGUAUAUUCAUAUAUUCAUCUUGUUAGAUAGUACACUCAGAUUUUAGACAAUAAUAUAUUAAUCUCUAAUGUACCAUUUAAGUUUAGAAGGCUAGCUGUAAUGCUUCUGUCCUUAUUCUAAGAUAGGUUCUAUCAGUAUUGUUAUACUUCUUUGAUUUAUUUGAACACGAUAAUGCUUUACUAGUAGUCUUUAUACUAAAUGUUUAGUGAACGAUUAGAUACCUUGAUUUGAUGUUGCUUGCUACCCUGAGUGUCUAAAAACGAGUAGUAUCAAUAAGCCGAUUAAAACUGAAACAUGAGAAUUUUGUGAUGGUUAGUGCACAUAAGUGCUUUAAAUCUUCAAAUUUGUUGAGCCUAUUGUUUUAUAGAAUACUAGGCUAUUGGACAAUAUUUUGGGUGUAGAGUUAGAGGUGUCUAGUGUUUAUGCAUACAAGUGUUUUAGGCCUUUAAGUUAAGAUAAUUUUUAUUCCAUGGAAUUCUAUGCUUGUUAAUAAUGAGUUGUUCAUUAAUACUAAGAGUCGUGUUAAUCCUUCGAUAGGAUACUCUAGUUCAUGAGAUUAAGAUUUAUGUGCAGCCUUUUGAGGCUUGAUGCUUGAGUUAAAGAAGCAAGAUUAUGGUGUUUAGCCAUUUAUCGAUGUCUAGCGUUUACUUAUGGGUGUUGUAUGCGCCUCACCAUUAAGUGUUUAGCUUUCUACUGUAGCAUUGUUUAUCUUGUGCUACCUGCUCAUAAUCAUUCAUGUGCAUUAUGCAUAUCAUUCAGGUUCGUUACACGUGAUGCGAAGGACAAGAGCCGAGUUGAUCCCAAAAUGAUGCUAGUGAACGAACCUAAGGAUGGAUGAUCUGAUAGAGUGCCAGAAUGGGAGAUGCUCACCAAGUGGUCGUCAAUUAACAACACUAACUUAGUGUUAUCCCAG
rnacentral:lncRNA from 1 species